CAGUCACCGAAAAUAGGGAAAGAUCAUAAACAGAAACGUGUACAACCAAGUCUUCUUUAGGCCUAAAUUAUCCAUCCUUUGAGGCAUUUUAUGAACCUAAAUAAUCACUGUCCUCUGAAUGCAUCCACUUAUAAAGAACAAAAAAGUUUAUAAUUUUAUGCCACAAUGAAUAUUUAAAGCUACUUUUGGGUUUAGAAUUAUUACAGCAACCUUCUGUACAGCAGAAGAGGAAAGUGUCAUGGCAACAUUACUUGUCACAAAAAAGCAGUCUGGGCUAAGAAGCCGACAAUGUCUCGCCCUAACAAGAGAACUAGCUACGUAAAUUACGCCAGGAAAUGGAAUGACAGAACAGAAAACAGCCAAACUGUCAGAUGCUGAAUAAACAGCAUCAAUGAAUUAUUUGAACUAGGAAGAGCUAACAGGUUCUUAAUGUUAUACCUCAAAAUAUUCUAAAAUAAUACCCAUUUGGCAAGUGAUGAGAUGUCUCUUUAGAAUGUUUAUGAUUUAAGAAUAAUCCGAUUUUCCACAACAUGGGAUGAUGGAAUACUAAACUUCUGGGGGGAAAAAAUUCUACUCAGAGUAUAACCAUAUCAUCUUUAAAACCUAAAAGUUUCAGGCCAGGUGUAGAGAAUUUUCUUAAGUGCUAUUAGAGGCAAAGGAAUAGUUGACUGAGUCUAUUCUACAUUUCUACAGUGAGUCAAGCUGUCAAUAAUAAUCAGAAUUAUUAAGUUAAGAUAAUCCUCCAUGAAAUUAACAGGCAAACAAUCAGAAGAGGGAUGUUUUUCCUUUUCUAGAAUUCUUAAUAAGAGAUAAAACCAGGAGUAAAAGAAGAGAUGUAAAUUCAACAAGCCAGAAGUGACCCUUGUAGGACCACAAAUUAAAGUUACUAUUGUACCUAACCAGGAGAAAUUAACCAACUUCGAGCAACAGAAACAAAUUACACGUGCUAAACAGCAGCACUCAUUAAGAAACCUGGAGUGGUACUUUUUAAGGUAUUUAUAUAGACGUUGCAUUAAGUUAGGCGCAGAUAAUGAACACCUUAGUCGUCUUCCUUUGCCGGUUUCUAUGCCAAGCCCUCUCGAAGCUGGGAUCCAAAAGGUAUACUCCAAGAAAGAAAGAAGCUCAUGUGGGAAAUGGUAUCCUCAUUCAGCUGUUCAGAGAACAGCUGACGCACAAGGAGCCUGGAAAAUAUCCCGUCGUUUACCUUACUAAGAGCGGUUAGGAAGGAAGAUGAUCGUCCACGUGCACUAUUGUUUCCAGGUGUGUUUAUUUAUAUUUAACUUACGCUUUGUUAUCAGUACCCUCAACCUCAGGCAAAUGGUGGGGAGGAGGGGUGGCAGCGCCGCUGGUGGCACCUGGGCGCAACACAAGUUUAAAAAUUAAAAACAAAAACCUUUUAUUUUUAAUUGCAGCGUACUCGGUGCCCUCACCUCUCCUCCACAUCUCUGCCAUCACCCACGCAGCUCCUCUCAGCGCCGCCUCGGGUCCCCAUGACAACCCCUCCCGAGGGGAAUGCUUCACCCCACCAUCAUGCUGCUUCUCCCUCAGUCUGACAAAUUUAGUUUGUGAAUCCUUUGGGCAAGGGCUAUAAUCUGAAUUCCAUGUUUUCUAUACUGACAGCCGCCCUUCUCUCAUGGAACCUGACACACAUUCUCCUGGGAGCUUGGUAACAAGACAACAGAAAGCCACCACACAGUGUUGCAAGCAAACUGUCCUUUCAUCCCUGACCACCACCAUUAUCCCUGGACCAAGCCUGGAUAUCUUGACAUUCUCCUACCUCGAAGCAUCCUCCCUGGUCCAGGGUUGUUUUCUGAGGAUGCAAGCUGGCCAUACCAGAGAGACGAACCACAUGAUUUGAGUCACAUGGUAUCAGUUGUCUGAGUUCAACCACAUAAGCAAGAAAUCAGUCAAUUAUGCCUGUGGAAUAAAACUCCAUUAAAACUCUGGACACAAAAGCUCAGCUGAUCUUCCCUGGUAAUACUCCCGGCAUAUUGACAAACACCAGUGCUGGGAGGUUAGUGGGUCAUUACUCCAUGGGAGAGGACAACAAAAGCUUUGUGUUUGGAGCUCUCCCAAACUGUGGCGUAUGUGCCUCUUCCUUUGGCUGAUUUUAAUGUGUCAUUUCCUGUAAUAAACCAGAAUCAUGAGUAUAAUAACUUUUGCCGAAAGGAGGCCCUCGAUAAACAUUUAUUAACAGCAUGGUAAGUCCCUACUACCUGCUCUUUCCCAAAAUUUAAUCACCCUACUCGGUGCAAAACAAAACAAACAGUGCUCAGAGGUUUAAAUCCAGCCUUAGCAAGGAGACUCCCUAUGUAUCAUCCUUUUUGUUACCAGUAUCAUUUGCCUGUGAAUGUCUUAGAACGAAACACUGAU